GGGUUGUGAGGUUAAGCGACUAAGCGUACACGGUGGAUGCCCUGGCAGUCAGAGGCGAUGAAGGACGUGCUAAUCUGCGAUAAGCGUCGGUGAGGUGAUAUGAACCGUUAUAACCGGCGAUUUCCGAAUGGGGAAACCCAGUGUGUUUCGACACACUAUCAUUAACUGAAUCCAUAGGUUAAUGAGGCGAACCGGGGGAACUGAAACAUCUAAGUACCCCGAGGAAAAGAAAUCAACCGAGAUUCCCCCAGUAGCGGCGAGCGAACGGGGAGGAGCCCAGAGCCUGAAUCAGUGUGUGUGUUAGUGGAAGCGUCUGGAAAGGCGCGCGAUACAGGGUGACAGCCCCGUACACAAAAAUGCACAUAUUGUGAGCUCGAUGAGUAGGGCGGGACACGUGGUAUCCUGUCUGAAUAUGGGGGGACCAUCCUCCAAGGCUAAAUACUCCUGACUGACCGAUAGUGAACCAGUACCGUGAGGGAAAGGCGAAAAGAACCUCGGCGAGGGGAGUGAAAAAGAACCUGAAACCGUGUACGUACAAGCAGUGGGAGCCUCUUAAUGGGGUGACUGCGUACCUUUUGUAUAAUGGGUCAGCGACUUAUAUUCUGUAGCAAGGUUAACCGAAUAGGGGAGCCGAAGGGAAACCGAGUCUUAACUGGGCGUUAAGUUGCAGGGUAUAGACCCGAAACCCGGUGAUCUAGCCAUGGGCAGGUUGAAGGUUGGGUAACACUAACUGGAGGACCGAACCGACUAAUGUUGAAAAAUUAGCGGAUGACUUGUGGCUGGGGGUGAAAGGCCAAUCAAACCGGGAGAUAGCUGGUUCUCCCCGAAAGCUAUUUAGGUAGCGCCUCGUGAAUUCAUCUCCGGGGGUAGAGCACUGUUUCGGCAAGGGGGUCAUCCCGACUUACCAACCCGAUGCAAACUGCGAAUACCGGAGAAUGUUAUCACGGGAGACACACGGCGGGUGCUAACGUCCGUCGUGAAGAGGGAAACAACCCAGACCGCCAGCUAAGGUCCCAAAGUCAUGGUUAAGUGGGAAACGAUGUGGGAAGGCCCAGACAGCCAGGAUGUUGGCUUAGAAGCAGCCAUCAUUUAAAGAAAGCGUAAUAGCUCACUGGUCGAGUCGGCCUGCGCGGAAGAUGUAACGGGGCUAAACCAUGCACCGAAGCUGCGGCAGCGACACUAUGUGUUGUUGGGUAGGGGAGCGUUCUGUAAGCCUGUGAAGGUGGCCUGUGAGGGUUGCUGGAGGUAUCAGAAGUGCGAAUGCUGACAUAAGUAACGAUAAAGCGGGUGAAAAGCCCGCUCGCCGGAAGACCAAGGGUUCCUGUCCAACGUUAAUCGGGGCAGGGUGAGUCGACCCCUAAGGCGAGGCCGAAAGGCGUAGUCGAUGGGAAACAGGUUAAUAUUCCUGUACUUGGUGUUACUGCGAAGGGGGGACGGAGAAGGCUAUGUUGGCCGGGCGACGGUUGUCCCGGUUUAAGCGUGUAGGCUGGUUUUCCAGGCAAAUCCGGAAAAUCAAGGCUGAGGCGUGAUGACGAGGCACUACGGUGCUGAAGCGACAAAUGCCCUGCUUCCAGGAAAAGCCUCUAAGCAUCAGGUAACAUCAAAUCGUACCCCAAACCGACACAGGUGGUCAGGUAGAGAAUACCAAGGCGCUUGAGAGAACUCGGGUGAAGGAACUAGGCAAAAUGGUGCCGUAACUUCGGGAGAAGGCACGCUGAUAUGUAGGUGAAGCGACUUGCUCGUGGAGCUGAAAUCAGUCGAAGAUACCAGCUGGCUGCAACUGUUUAUUAAAAACACAGCACUGUGCAAACACGAAAGUGGACGUAUACGGUGUGACGCCUGCCCGGUGCCGGAAGGUUAAUUGAUGGGGUUAGCGGUAACGCGAAGCUCUUGAUCGAAGCCCCGGUAAACGGCGGCCGUAACUAUAACGGUCCUAAGGUAGCGAAAUUCCUUGUCGGGUAAGUUCCGACCUGCACGAAUGGCGUAAUGAUGGCCAGGCUGUCUCCACCCGAGACUCAGUGAAAUUGAACUCGCUGUGAAGAUGCAGUGUACCCGCGGCAAGACGGAAAGACCCCGUGAACCUUUACUAUAGCUUGACACUGAACAUUGAGCCUUGAUGUGUAGGAUAGGUGGGAGGCUUUGAAGUGUGGACGCCAGUCUGCAUGGAGCCGACCUUGAAAUACCACCCUUUAAUGUUUGAUGUUCUAACGUGGGCCCCUUACCGGGGUUGCGGACAGUGUCUGGUGGGUAGUUUGACUGGGGCGGUCUCCUCCUAAAGAGUAACGGAGGAGCACGAAGGUUGGCUAAUCCUGGUCGGACAUCAGGAGGUUAGUGCAAUGGCAUAAGCCAGCUUGACUGCGAGCGUGACGGCGCGAGCAGGUGCGAAAGCAGGUCAUAGUGAUCCGGUGGUUCUGAAUGGAAGGGCCAUCGCUCAACGGAUAAAAGGUACUCCGGGGAUAACAGGCUGAUACCGCCCAAGAGUUCAUAUCGACGGCGGUGUUUGGCACCUCGAUGUCGGCUCAUCACAUCCUGGGGCUGAAGUAGGUCCCAAGGGUAUGGCUGUUCGCCAUUUAAAGUGGUACGCGAGCUGGGUUUAGAACGUCGUGAGACAGUUCGGUCCCUAUCUGCCGUGGGCGCUGGAGAACUGAGGGGGGCUGCUCCUAGUACGAGAGGACCGGAGUGGACGCAUCACUGGUGUUCGGGUUGUCAUGCCAAUGGCACUGCCCGGUAGCUAAAUGCGGAAGAGAUAAGUGCUGAAAGCAUCUAAGCACGAAACUUGCCCCGAGAUGAGUUCUCCCUGACUCCUUGAGAGUCCUGAAGGAACGUUGAAGACGACGACGUUGAUAGGCCGGGUGUGUAAGCGCAGCGAUGCGUUGAGCUAACCGGUACUAAUGAACCGUGAGGCUUAACCUUACAACGCCGAAG
rnacentral:rRNA from 3 species